UACGAAGGGGGCUAGCGUUGCUCGGAAUUACUGGGCGUAAAGCGCACGUAGGCGGCUUUCUAAGUCGGGGGCGAAAUCCUGGAGCUCAACUCCAGAACUGCCUUCGAUACUGGAGAGCUUGAGUCCGGGAGAGGUGAGUGGAACUGCGAGUGUAGAGGUGAAAUUCGUAGAUAUUCGCAAGAACACCAGUGGCGAAGGCGGCUCACUGGCCCGGUACUGACGCUGAGGUGCGAAAGCGUGGGGAGCAAACAGG
rnacentral:rRNA from 1 species